rnacentral:rRNA from 1 species
GACGAACCGUGCGAACGUUAUUCGGAAUCACUGGGCUUAAAGCGCGCGCAGGCGGGGCGGCACGUCGGUCGCUGAAAUCCCCCGGCUCAACCGGGGAACGGGCGCCGAAACAACCGCCCUGGAGGGGCGUAGGGGGAUCGGGAACUUCCGGUGGAGCGGUGAAAUGCGUUGAGAUCGGAAGGAACGCCCGCGGCGAAAGCGCGGUCCUGGACGCCUACUGACGCUGAGGCGCGAAAGCCAGGGGAGCGAACGGG